CUCUAUCACACUAUCGUCCGUUGUUUCGAGAACACGCUCAUCCGGAAAAAAUGAAUAAAAAUAGAGUAACAGUCGAUAUCACAUGGAUCUAUCUUAAUAAAUAUCACUAUUUUCCACUGACAAUGAAGCAAGAUGAAUUAUUAUAGGAAUGAUAUUCACGCCCCUAUUAAACAUUGAUUAAUGAUCAAUUUGCGACGCCGCUAUAUUCAGAUCAUAAAAAUCUAAAUUGUCAGAGACAACCCUAUUGCUCUCCAAAGAAGGUCAUCUGAGAAUCACCUAAAACAAGGGGCGCCAGGCAAAUCUCUCCCAUCUG
rnacentral:misc_RNA from 1 species